UAAAACCCCAGAUCAACCGCCAACAUGGGUAAGGUCCACGGUUCGCUCGCGCGUGCCGGUAAGGUCAAGUCGCAGACCCCCAAGGUCGAGAAGCAGGAGAAGAAGAAGGUCCCCAAGGGCCGCGCGAAGAAGCGUCUCACAUACACCCGCCGCUUCGUGAACGUCGUCAUGACCGGCGGCAAGCGCAAGAUGAACCCCAACCCGACCUCUUAAGCGACAAACCACUCUCGGGA
rnacentral:misc_RNA from 1 species